GACGAACGCUGGCGGCGUGCCUAAUACAUGCAAGUGGGACGCAAGGAAACACACUGUGCUUGCACACCGUGUUUUCUUGAGGCGCGAAAGGGUGAGUAACGCGUAGGUAACCUGCCUAUUAGCGGGGGAUAACUAUUGGAAACGAUAGCUAAUACCGCAUAAUAUUAAUUAUUGCAUGAUAAUUGAUUGAAAGAUGCAAGCGCAUCACUAGUAGAUGGACCUGCGGUGUAUUAGCUAGUUGGUAAGGUAAGAGCUUACAAAGGCGACGAUACAUAGCCGACCGGCGAGGGUGGUCGGCCACACUGGGACUGAGACACGGCCCAGACUCCUACGGGAGGCAGCCGUAGGGCAUCUUCGGCAAUGGGCGGAAGUCUGACCGAGCUACGCCGCGUGAGUGUAGAAGGUUUUCGGAUCGUAAAGCUCUGUUGUCAGUCAAGAACGUGUGUGAGAGUGGAAAGUUCACACAGUGACGGUAGCUUACCAGAAAGCGACGGCUAACUACGUG
rnacentral:rRNA from 1 species